rnacentral:rRNA from 1 species
UACGAAGGGGGCUAGCGUUGUUCGGAAUCACUGGGCGUAAAGGGCGCGUAGGCGGCUUUAUAAGUCGGGGGUGAAAGCCUGUGGCUCAACCACAGAAUUGCCUUCGAUACUGUAGAGCUUGAGACCGGAAGAGGUAAGUGGAACUGCGAGUGUAGAGGUGAAAUUCGUAGAUAUUCGGAAGAACACCAGUGGCGAAGGCGGCUCACUGGACCGGUAUUGACGCUGAUGUGCGAAAGCGUGGGGAGCAAACAGG